UGGGGAAUAUUGGCCAAUGGGCGCAAGCCUGAUCCAGCCAUGCCGCGCGUGUGAAGAAGGCCUUUUGGUUGUAAAGCACUUUAAGCGAGGAGGAGGCUACUUGGAUUAAUACUCUAGGAUAGUGGACGUUACUCGCAGAAUACGCACCGGCUAACUCUGUGCCAGCAGCCGCGGUAAUACAGAGGGUGCGAGCGUUAAUCGGAUUUACUGGGCGUAAAGCGUGCGUAGGCGGCUUCUUAAGUCGGAUGUGAAAUCCCUGAGCUUAACUUAGGAAUUGCAUUCGAUACUGGGAAGCUAGAGUAUGGGAGAGGAUGGUAGAAUUCCAGGUGUAGCGGUGAAAUGCGUAGAGAUCUGGAGGAAUACCGAUGGCGAAGGCAGCCAUCUGGCCUAAUACUGACGCUGAGGUACGAAAGCAUGGGGAGCAAACAGG
rnacentral:rRNA from 1 species